rnacentral:rRNA from 1 species
UACGUAGGGACCGAGCGUUGUCCGGAAUCAUUGGGCGUAAAGAGCGUGUAGGCGGCCACUUAAGUCCUGCGUGAAAUCUUGCGGCUCAACCGCAAGCGGACGUGGGAAACUGGGUGGCUAGAGUGCGGGAGAGGAGAGUGGAAUUCCUGGUGUAGUGGUGGAAUGCGUAGAUAUCGGGAGGAACACCAGUGGCGAAGGCGGUUGCCUGGGGCUUUGCUGACGCUGAUGCGCGAAAGCGUGGGGAGCGAUCCGG